GACGAACGCUGGCGGCGUGCUUAACACAUGCAAGUCGAACGGAAAGGCCCUGCUUGUGUGGGGUGCUCGAGUGGCGAACGGGUGAGUAACGCGUGAGUAACCUGCCCUUGACUUUGGGAUAACUUCAGGAAACUGGGGCUAAUACCGGAUAGGUGCUCCUGCUGCAUGGUGGGGGUAGGAAAGUUUGGGCGGUUGGGGAGGGACGCGCGGGUUAUCAGCUUGUUGGUGGGGGAGUGGCUUACCAAGGCUUGGGCGGGUGGCCGGCCUGAGUGGGAGACCGGCCGGACUGGGUGGGAGAGACGGCCGGGACUGCCUCGGGAGGGAGGAGGGAGGGAGAAUGAAUGAUGGACGGGAGGCUGAUGCACCAACGGCGCGUGCGGGAUGACGGCCGUCGGGUGGGAUGCCGCCUUCGCCUGUCACGGAGGGAGUGUGACGGUAAGGGGAGAAGAAGCACCGGCUAACUACGUG
rnacentral:rRNA from 1 species